UACAGAGGUCUCAAGCGUUGUUCGGAUUCAUUGGGCGUAAAGGGCGCGUAGGCGGCGGGGCCAGUCGGGUGUGAAAUGCCGGGGCUUAACCCCGGCCCGGCACUCGAUACUGCCCGGCUUGGAGGGCUGGAGAGGAGAUCGGAAUUCACGGUGUAGCAGUGAAAUGCGUAGAGAUCGUGAGGAAGACCGGUGGCGAAGGCGGAUCUCUGGACAGCACCUGACGCUGAGGCGCGAAGGCCAGGGGAGCAAACGGG
rnacentral:rRNA from 1 species